rnacentral:misc_RNA from 1 species
GACACCACUCGCCCCCCUCCCUCCCCCUCUCUUUUGGGGGGGGGGGGGUUUCGGGGCGGACUAUGAGUGUUCCGGAGCGUCCGCGCUCCGAGUGCACCCAAUCUCGUGAACGAAGCCUCUCGCGCCCUGCCGCACAGAGUUGUUGACGGCGCUCGCUUCGGCGGCGACUCUCGACUCACCAAACGUGCGCGGGGAUUCGCCUGCUUCAUUCCGGCUCAUGCCUUUUUCACCCCCCCGCCCCCACGCAAGUGAGGGAGGGAAGAAGAGGCUAUAUCCACACUUUCG